rnacentral:rRNA from 1 species
UACAGAGGUCUCAAGCGUUGUUCGGAUUCAUUGGGCGUAAAGGGUGUGUAGGUGGCGCCGUAAGUCGGGUGUGAAAUUUCGGAGCUUAACUCCGAAACUGCAUUCGAUACUGCGGUGCUUGAGGACUGGAGAGGAGACUGGAAUUCAUGGUGUAGCAGUGAAAUGCGUAGAGAUCAUGAGGAAGACCAGUGGCGAAGGCGGGUCUCUGGACAAAGACUGACGCUCAGGUGCGAAAGCGUGGGGAGCAAACAGG